GAUGAACGCAGGCGGCGUGCCUAAUACAUGCAAGUCGAGCGAACGGACGAGAAGCUUGCUUCUCUGAUGUUAGCGGCGGACGGGUGAGUAACACGUGGAUAACCUACCUAUAAGACUGGGAUAACUUCGGGAAACCGGAGCUAAUACCGGAUAAUAUUUUGAACCGCAUGGUUCAAAAGUGAAAGACGGUCUUGCUGUCACUUAUAGAUGGAUCCGCGCUGCAUUAGCUAGUUGGUAAGGUAACGGCUUACCAAGGCAACGAUGCAUAGCCGACCUGAGAGGGUGAUCGGCCACACUGGAACUGAGACACGGUCCAGACUCCUACGGGAGGCAGCAGUAGGGAAUCUUCCGCAAUGGGCGAAAGCCUGACGGAGCAACGCCGCGUGAGUGAUGAAGGUCUUCGGAUCGUAAAACUCUGUUAUUAGGGAAGAACAUAUGUGUAAGUAACUGUGCACAUCUUGACGGUACCUAAUCAGAAAGCCACGGCUAACUACGUGCCAGCAGCCGCGGUAAUACGUAGGUGGCAAGCGUUAUCCGGAAUUAUUGGGCGUAAAGCGCGCGUAGGCGGUUUUUUAAGUCUGAUGUGAAAGCCCACGGCUCAACCGUGGAGGGUCAUUGGAAACUGGAAAACUUGAGUGCAGAAGAGGAAAGUGGAAUUCCAUGUGUAGCGGUGAAAUGCGCAGAGAUAUGGAGGAACACCAGUGGCGAAGGCGACUUUCUGGUCUGUAACUGACGCUGAUGUGCGAAAGCGUGGGGAUCAAACAGGAUUAGAUACCCUGGUAGUCCACGCCGUAAACGAUGAGUGCUAAGUGUUAGGGGGUUUCCGCCCCUUAGUGCUGCAGCUAACGCAUUAAGCACUCCGCCUGGGGAGUACGACCGCAAGGUUGAAACCCAAAGGAAUUGACGGGGACCCGCACAAGCGGUGGAGCAUGUGGUUUAAUUCGAAGCAACGCGAAGAACCUUACCAAAUCUUGACAUCCUUUGACAACUCUAGAGAUAGAGCCUUCCCCUUCGGGGGACAAAGUGACAGGUGGUGCAUGGUUGUCGUCAGCUCGUGUCGUGAGAUGUUGGGUUAAGUCCCGCAACGAGCGCAACCCUUAAGCUUAGUUGCCAUCAUUAAGUUGGGCACUCUAAGUUGACUGCCGGUGACAAACCGGAGGAAGGUGGGGAUGACGUCAAAUCAUCAUGCCCCUUAUGAUCUGGGCUACACACGUGCUACAAUGGACAAUACAAAGGGCAGCGAAACCGCGAGGUCAAGCAAAUCCCAUAAAGUUGUUCUCAGUUCGGAUUGUAGUCUGCAACUCGACUACAUGAAGCUGGAAUCGCUAGUAAUCGUAGAUCAGCAUGCUACGGUGAAUACGUUCCCGGGUCU
rnacentral:rRNA from 1 species